UACGGAGGGUGCAAACGUUGCUCGGAAUCAUUGGGCGUAAAGCGCAUGUAGGCGGUCCAGCAAGUCGGGUGUGAAAGCCCUCGGCUUAACCGAGGAAGUGCAUUCGAAACUACUGGACUUGAGUACUGAAGAGGGUCGCGGAAUUCCCGGUGUAGAGGUGAAAUUCGUAGAUAUCGGGAGGAACACCAGUGGCGAAGGCGACUACCUGGCCUGUUCUUGACGCUGAGGCGCGAAAGCUAGGGGAGCAAACGGGG
rnacentral:rRNA from 1 species